UUGUAGCCACAUAGUCUUCAGUCUCCAAUCCUCCUCAUCAACAUGAAGUGCUUCAGCCUGAUGGUGGUGGUGUUGGCCGUACUGGCCAUGAUCAUGGGCGGAUCUCAAGCCGCGCCGGAGCCGCAACCAGCGGGGGCCAAGGGACUGCUGAAGGGCGCUAAAACCGUCCUGGGAGUCGUUGGAGCCGUCGGCACAGGAGCUGAGAUCAUCGACCGCAUCAAGAACAGACACGGAUGAGCAGCAUUUGCAUUAUUGUACAAUAACCAAAGAAUACCUUAUUUUGUAUCAUAAUUACCUACUCACUAGUCUUUGAUGGUAAUAAAAACAAUUUUACAAUUCUA